GCGCAGCAGUCGCGAAUAGUCUACAAUGGACGAAAGUCUGAUAGUGCGACGCCGUGUGUGCGAUUAAUUCCUUCGGGAUGUAAAGCACUUUUCUAUGAGAUAAAAGCUCUUUAGGUUAAUAGCUUAUUGAGACGGAUAUUAUUAUAGGAAUAAGCUCCGGCUAACUCCGUGCCAGCAGCCGCGGUAAUACGGAAGGAGCGAGCGUUGUCCGGAUUUACUAGGCGUAAAGGGCUAGUAGGCGACUAAUUAAGUUAUAUGUUAAAUCCCACGGCUCAACUGUGGUCCUGCAUGUAAUACUGGUUAGAUAGAGUACUGUAGAGGAAGGCAGAAUUCCUGGAGUAGCGGUGGAAUGCGCAGAUAUCAGGAAGAAUACCAAAAGCGAAGGCAGCCUUCUGGGCAGUUACUGACGCUGAAUAGCGAAGGUGUGGGUAGCGAACAGGAUUAGAUACCCGCGUAGU
rnacentral:rRNA from 1 species